GACGAACGCUGGCGGCGUGCUUAACACAUGCAAGUCGAGGGCACUUUGGGGGGCAACUCUGGAGUGACCGGCGAACGGGUGCGUAACACGUGAGCGACCUUGCCUCGUGGUGGGGGAUAGCCGGCCCAACGGCCGGGUAAUACCGCAUAGGGUGGUCUUUUCGCAUGGAGAGACUAGCAAAGCCCUGGAGCAAUCCAGUGGCGCCACGAGGGGGGGCUCGCGGCCUAUCAGCUAGGNGGGGGGUAAUGGCCCACCAAGGCGACGACGGGUAGCUGGUCUGAGAGGAUGGCCAGCCACAUUGGGACUGAGAGACGGCCCAGACUCCUACGGGAGGCAGCAGGUGGGGAAUCUUGCGCAAUGGCCGAAAGGCUGACGCAGCGACGCCGCGGUGGGGGAGGAAGG
rnacentral:rRNA from 1 species